GCCAAGGAAAUGGGAGCUCAGUCUCAAAUCCAUCUCCCUGACUGAUUAAAAUUAGGGGUUUAUAUAGCAGGCAAGAAAUGUAACAAUGUGUGAGGGAACCGGAACUAGGGAAGAGUAGGAAAACAAUAUGAGAGGCCUGGCUCUGGAUGCAGUAAUCUGAUGGCAUUAGAAGUGGAACCCAAAGUAGAGCCUCUUGCAACCCCCAGAAGCACCAAGAGACCAAGAAAAAUACCUACCAG
rnacentral:lncRNA from 1 species